UACGGAGAGUGCAAACGUUGUUCGGAUUCACUGGGCGUAAAGGGCACGUAGGCGGCUCGGCAAAUCAGUCGUGGAAUCCCGACGCUUACCGUCGGAACGGCGGCUGAAAAUACCGGGCUUGAGGGCGUGAGGGGUCACUGGAACUCCUGGUGAAGCGGUGAAAUGCGUAGAUAUCAGGAGGAAAACCAGUGGCGAAGGCGGUGCUCUGGGCCGGAACUGACGCUGAGGAGCGAAAGCGUGGGGAGCAAACAGG
rnacentral:rRNA from 1 species